GUGUCAUUUUGGUCUCUUGUGGAGAGUUGUCUCAACAUGGCAAUCAUACCACAUCUUUUUUUUGUAAUCAAUGAAUUUUGUAAAAUAUUUAAUGAAUGGAGAAUUUCAGAAAAGGUAUCAAAAGUUCACAUGAAUAAUUUUAGCGCUUAUCUGUAUAUUACUAUAUAAAUAAAGUGUAUUUACUUUCAAUUCUUAGUUUAGAAAUCGAUCCAUGGUGGUCAAU
rnacentral:lncRNA from 1 species